UUUUUUUUUCUUUUUUGGCUACCCCGUGGCAUGUGGAGUUCCUAGGCUGGGAUCAGAUCUAAGCUGCAGUAGCAACCCAUGCCACAACUGUGACAACGCCAUAUCUUGCCAGCCGGGGAUCCAACAUGUGUCCUAGUGCUACUACACAGAUGCCACCAAUCCUGUUGUGCCGUGGCAGGAACUCCAUAAAUUUAAUUUUCAAUAUAGAAGUAAAUAUUUGUGUUCACGGUAGUAGGAAGACAGCAAAACUAAGAAUCAGAAGAUAUGGAAGCAUGUCUGGUAUGAGCUUCUGCCAUAAGCCACUCUAUGUCCUUGGGAAAGUCACCCAAUCUAUGUGGGCUUUAGUUUCCUCAUAUGUAAAAUUAGGAUGCUGGACCGGUCAUUGUUAAAUGUUCUUUCCGACUUCACAUUUUUUGGGGUAAUAGUUAUAAUGCCCAAUGCUAUAAAAUCUGAAAAUUUAAAAAGUAUGCAGCAAUAGGAGUUCCUGUUGUGGCUCAGUAGUUAAUGAAUCCCAAAUAGGAACCAUGAGGUUGUGGGUUCGAUCCCUGGCCUCGCUCAUGGGUUGAUGAUCCAGCGUUGCCGCGAGCUGUGGUGUAGGUCGCAGACGCGGCUCAGAUCCCGUGUUGCUCUGGCUCUGGCAUAGGCUGGCAGCUAUAGCUCCGAUUUGACCCCUAGCCUGGGAACCUCCAUAUGCUGUGGGAGCAGCCCAAGAAAUGGCAAAAAGGCAAAAAGGCAAAAAAAAGAAAAUGAUAAAAUAGACCACCCUUGGGUUAUUGUGAAUUAUUUUCCCAGGAGUGAUGAUGAGCAGAUCCUGAUCCUUCUACUGGCUCCACACCUCUUUCUACCAGCAGCAUCUACUUGUAAGAUGUCUGCCCCUGGCUAACUUUAAGGGAGCAGUGUGUCAUCAUAAAUUCUGGCAAAACAAAGUAAUUGAUUAGAGUGGUGGCUAAGCUCCUAGUGACUCCUUAUUACUGAAAAGUCUUACCCUGAUUAUCCUAGAGGCUUAGUAUAACUAUUGUCAAUUCUCAAUCAUAAAUACUAACAAAGGGAGAUGUGGGAAAUGAGGAUUGGUACGGAUAUUCCAAGGAAUUUUAUAUCAACUUUAGAAUGCUCUGUAUAUGGAGAACUUUCAAUUUGCCUUCAUAAUUAUGUUUUCUUUAGAAUAAUUUAAAAUCAGCUUUCAUUUCUUGAGUCAACAGAGAUAACUGCUAUUAUGUAGGAAACCUUGUCUGAAACAAAAAAUCAAUUGCCUAUAAUUACAGAUGGAUCAUGAAGAUUAAGCUGUUUAUAAGACUAAAUAUAUUUGUGUGCACAUGUGUCUGCCUGUGACUUUGACUUCUUGCCUUUUAAAGAACUUUUUUGACCAAAUGGAAAUCAGAAGUUAUAGUAACAUACUGCUGAAACAAAAGGUGAAUUCUACAAUGAAAGGAGGUCAGAGCCAUGUGUCAUGAUUUUGCAGGUAGUUAAAAAUGAACUGAGAAGUCACCAUCCGGUGGGAGGCAUCUUAGGGACGCAGCCACCUUCUGUUGGGCAUAAAUAGAAUGAAAGCUUGUUGAGCUAUUUAUUCUUAGAUGGUUAUGAUCAUGUGUUGCUCCUCCACUGAAAUGUGCCCAUUUUACUACCUCACUCUUUUAGAAUGGAUAUUUUUAGCUAACUCUGGGCUAAUCUAAUCAACUGAUUUGUGCUAACUGAAGUUUAGAAGAGAGCAUCCUCUCUCAAACCCUAAGUCUGUUUCACCCUGCCAGGUAAAAUAUGAACACCAGAUCCUUAACCCACUGAGAGAGACCAGGGAUCAAACCCACAUCCUCAUGGAUACUAGUUGGAUUCUAAAUCACUGAGCCACAAAGGGAACUCCC
rnacentral:lncRNA from 1 species